rnacentral:rRNA from 1 species
ACGGAAGGCAGCAGUAGGGAAUCUUCGGCAAUGGGGGCAACCCUGGCCGAGCAACGCCGCGUGAGUGAAGAAGGUUUUCGGAUCGUAAAGCUCUGUUGUAGGAGAAGAACGUGUGUGAGAGUGGAAAGUUCACACAAUGACGGUAACUUACCAGAAAGGGACGGCUAACUACGUGCCAGCAGCCGCGGUAAUACGUAGGUCCCGAGCGUUGUCCGGAUUUAUUGGGCGUAAAGCGAGCGCAGGCGGUUUAAUAAGUCUGAAGUUAAAGGCAGUGGCUUAACCAUUGUUCGCUUUGGAAACUGUUAGACUUGAGUGCAGAAGGGGAGAGUGGAAUUCCAUGUGUAGCGGUGAAAUGCGUAGAUAUAUGGAGGAACGCCGGUGGCGAAAGCGGCUCUCUGGUCUGUAACUGACGCUGAGGCUCGAAAGCGUGGGGAGCAAACAGGAUUAGAUACCCUGGUA